GCCACCUUAGCUCAGUUGGUAGAGCACAGCUUUCGUAAAGCUGGGGUCCCCGGUUCAAGCCCGGGAGGUGGCU
rnacentral:tRNA from 1 species